rnacentral:rRNA from 1 species
UACAGAGGGUGCAAGCGUUAAUCGGAAUUACUGGGCGUAAAGCGCGCGUAGGCGGUUAUGUAAGACAGAUGUGAAAUCCCCGGGCUCAACCUGGGAACUGCAUUUGUGACUGCAUGGCUAGAGUACGGUAGAGGGGGAUGGAAUUCCGCGUGUAGCAGUGAAAUGCGUAGAUAUGCGGAGGAACACCGAUGGCGAAGGCAAUCCCCUGGACCUGUACUGACGCUCAUGCACGAAAGCGUGGGGAGCAAACAGG